AGUUCUUUGCGUUAUCAAUGAAAAUACUGUGAACAGAUAAACAUAAACUUUCUUGCAAGUAGUUACAUUACAAAUCAGUAUGCGAGAAAGCAUGGAACGACAACUAUGCUUAUUAAUGUUUUAAGUGCACUUUUUUGUUAAUAUGGUGCAAGAUCACGUGACUGUGGGGUUCCCAAUUAAACGUUAAUUGACGUUAACACACCGCAAUGAUCAACAACAUUGGUGGUCCAGGAACGGUUAAUUACUUUUUGUCAACACUGUAUGUUCCAAUGAUCAUUUGAACUUAAAGAAAAUGGAAAUACAUGCGGGAAGGACGUACAUUCAUCAAGUUUCAACUAUCUCCUUUAUAGCAGACAGGCUUAUAAGAUGGAAACGAAAAACAACUUUGAGAAGGCUUAUUGAAGCCAAAUUUAUAAGAAAGGACCAAAUAUUUUUACUUUAAUAUAUAACAAGAGGACCUGAAAGGCCCAAAGUCGCUCACCUGAGAUUCAAAGGAACUGACCUGUUCUGUGCAGCCCAAGAUGUCUUUAGAACAAAAUGUUCUUACCAACUUUCAUGACUAGUGAACACCCUGGCAGUCACGUUUUUCAACAGACCAGAACCAUUUUCAUACACAUCCAAGAUAUCAUUUAAACAAAUAUACUGACAAAGUUUCAUGAAGAUUCAUAGGUCCAUAUAAAGAAAAAAUGCCCGCCCACUGGUGGCCAUGUUUUUCAAGCAACUGGAACCAUUUUCGAACUUGUCCAAAAUAUAAUUGGGACAAAUCUUCUGACAAAGUUUCAUGCUGAUUGUACAAUAAAUAUGGCUUCUAGAGUGUUAACAAGGUAUAACUAUAGCUAUAUAAGGAAAAAUGCCACGCCCCCUUGGCGGCCAUGUUUUUCCACCAACUGAAACCAUUUUCAAACUCAUCCAAGAUAUCAUUGGGACAAAUCAUCUGAUAAAGUUUCAUGAUGAUCGGACAAUAAAUGUGGCCUCUAGAGUGUUAACAAGGUUUUACUAAAGCAUGAUAAUAUAUAGCCAUAUUAGGAAAAAUGCCCCGCCCCCUGGUGGCUAUAUUUUUUAAGCAAACUAAACCAUUUUCGAACUCAUCCAAGAUAUCAUAAGGACAAAUCUUCUGACUAAGUUUCAUUAAGAUCGGAAAAUAAAUGUGGCCUUUAGAGUGUCAACAAGGUUUUACUUUAAAGCCAUAUAAGGAAAAAUGCCCCGCCCCCUGGUGGCCAUGUUUUUCAACCAACCGACAUCAUUUUUUAAACUUGUCUAAGAUAUUACAUGUAUUGGGAUGAAUCUUCUGACCAAGUUUCAUGAAAAUCGGACAAUAAAUGUGGCCUCUAGAGUGUUAACAAGAUUUAACUAUAGCCAUAUAUAGCCAUAUAAGGAAAAAUGCCCCGCCCCUUGGCAGCCAUAUUUUUCAGGCAAACAUAA